GCAGUCGUGACCUAGUGGGUCAGGUGAUUGACUGGAGAUCAAAAGGUCUUCGGUUCGAUCCCCAACUUCCCUG